AUGGGCUGUUUUUGUUGUGGCCUUGCCUUCGUGGCCGGUUUUUUGCUGCAUGUUGCUGCCGCUCUAAAUCGCCGUAGACAAAGUCAUCUCGCCUCCACUACUAUUGAACCACCCAUAGCCUCUGCUUCUGUGGACCGGCCCUUGACGAGGUUCGUUGACCCAUUCGACUCACCGCUCGCCCGCGGGCUCCAACCCGCCACCAGUCUCCUAAACCGCCGGGCGGUUUAUCCGGCUUCAGCGUCAAAUCCUCUGCUAACUCACCGGGCUGGUUGCCAUGGAGAUAGCGGUGAAACCAGUGCCUUCGCAGGAGAUAAGGACAUACUGCCGGUAAGCGGGCCCGACUAG
rnacentral:rRNA from 1 species